UGAGGUCCCUUGAAAGACUUUAUUAUCCUCUUAAGGACAUCUUUGAUAGUAUAUUCGUUGGAGACACAAACUUUAGCACGGGUGCCAAAAUGUCUCAACUUGUUAGAGUUGUACAACUUGAGGGCAAGUGAAGUCUUGCCCGAUCCCCCCAUUCCGUGAAUGGAAAUAAUUUUAAGGGGCGGAUCCUCGUUAUUAAGUUCUGUCAUCAACUUGUCAAUAUCCUCCUCGAAGCCAACCACAUCCACCUUGUUAUCAAUGGCGCUUGCUCUUAUCAAGGUUCUCUCUUUUUGUUUCACAUCUGGACCGGCUAAAAUAUUGUCGAUGCCAUACUCGAGGCGCCUCUCCUUGAUCACACCGAUCUUUUUCUUGAGUGACUCGAUAUUGUUGCCAAUGUCAUAAAGCUGAGCUUCUUUCUUGCAGAUGCAAAUACAGUUGAGAAAUCUAUCCAUAUGACCUUGUCUUCCAGCAGUAAGGAAUGCAAAUAUAAAGCAUCAAAUGUACGCUGCUCAAGUAAUUUAAAGUACUCACCAAAUCCAUUAUAAAUAGCAUGACGUCGUUGUCCUUCCAACAAAUGGAUGAGAUUUGGUUGGUCUUUACUUGAAUCAAAAAUAACCAACAACUUCUGCUCCUUCGCCUUUUUUAUGGCAAGUUCACGCACAAGAUCAUGGACCCGGCAUGUGCCAACUUUCCCAUUCAAUUGCAAACACUCAAUCUGAAUCAAGUUACGAUUAAUUAGCUCGUUCAGACAAUCCUCGGCCAAAUCCUCCAUAAGGACUCCAUCUUCUUCAUCUUCUGAUAUGAAUUCCUCUGCAAUCCAUAAAUGCUUCAAACGUUCGACGCGAAUAAUAUUGUCUUCUGGGAAUCGUGCAAGGUAGAGAAAACAAUCUUUCAUUUGGGGAGACAAGUCUUUAUAACUCAAGCUUAGUAUCUCUACAAUAUCCACCGAGUCAUCCCUCAAGUUUCGCCAGAUAUGCUGCGUCACCUUUGACCAAUAGUCAUAGCUCUUGUCGUGAAAUAAAAGGCCGCCCAGUAUCACAAUUGCAAGUGGUAAACCUCCACAUCUACCAACCAUCUCCCUUCCCAAGUUCUCCAGAUUCUGGGUGGGUUCCGCUGUCUUGCAGAACAAUUCCCAGCUUUCCUCUUCCCUCAAAAAACGAAGUUGAUAGGCUAAAGCAUUCUUAUCCACAGUCUCUGCGACUUUCUUGUUCCUUGUAGUUAUCAUGAUCCGACUACCGUUGUCCAGGUUUGGAAAUGCGAUCUUGAUCUGGUUCCAAGCUUUUAUAUCCCAUAUAUCAUCAAUAAGUACCAAAUAGCAACCGUCAUUCUGGAGUAACUGUGGUAGGUAUUGCAGCAAGUCACGCUCAUCCAUGUUUGAGAUAUAUUGUUCGUGCUGAGGUCCCUUGAAAGACUUUAUUAUCCUCUUAAGGACAUCUUUGAUAGUAUAUUCGUUGGAGACACAAACUUUAGCACGGGUGCCAAAAUGUCUCAACUUGUUAGAGUUGUACAACUUGAGGGCAAGUGAAGUCUUGCCCGAUCCCCCCAUUCCGUGAAUGGAAAUAAUUUUAAGGGGCGGAUCCUCGUUAUUAAGUUCUGUCAUCAACUUGUCAAUAUCCUCCUCGAAGCCAACCACAUCCACCUUGUUAUCAAUGGCGCUUGCUCUUAUCAAGGUUCUCUCUUUUUGUUUCACAUCUGGACCGGCUAAAAUAUUGUCGAUGCCAUACUCGAGGCGCCUCUCCUUGAUCACACCGAUCUUUUUCUUGAGUGACUCGAUAUUGUUGCCAAUGUCAUAAAGCUGUGCUUCUUUCUUGCAGAUGCAAAUACAGUUGAGAAAUCUAUCCAUAUGACCUUGACCUUGUUCCAGACUGGCUUGUCCAUCCUGAAACCUCUUCAAGAUAUCCACAGCUUCAUCGGCAACCUCUCUGACAGUGCUUAUCCAUAGACGGAUUUCAUCUUCUUCUUGCCUUGAUUCUGCACGUCUUACAGAAGCCUGGAGGAGGCCUAAUUCAUCUUUGAGCCAUCUUAUAUCAUCUCUAACUUCUAUUCGUAGGUUAACUUGGUGCACAAGAAAAUCACCAAGGUUUUCGAUUGCAAAAGAUACUAAAGCAUCAACCAUACUUUUGUAUGAAGUAGAAAAGAAAGGAAGGCGAAAGGUUUGUGAUUUUCGUGUGAGGCUCCAUGUAUACUCUAUAUAUAAAACACGCCUGAUACCAUAUUGACGGCUCAGAUGGAUUUAAAAAAUUGUCAAUGCUUUGGUAAAGAGUCUCAUCCAGGAUAAGCUAAUACUACCAAACAUGUUUAUAAAAAAAAUUAAAAAUGGCCAGAGCACCUGUAAUUCAAAUGCUUUGGUUACUCCAACAUUACUCGAAAUGAAUAUUUCUUGGACCAUUUUAUCAUGAAAAUUACCAACAAUUAAAGUACUCCGUGAUUCGCUACCCUGCGAAUCUGGGAUGCAUCAUGCAUUAUUGUUAGUUUUGUCUUUUACUUAUUAAAUAAUAGAAUUGAAUAUAAAUUUAUAAUUAUAUUUUCUUUCAGAUGGGGCUGGCAGGGAGUUUCUUAGAUGCAUGUGGAAGCGAAAGAGACGACUUUGGGCGAUGUUCUUGUUAGAGCAUUCCGGUUGGCUUCCCUAUAUGUUUCCCUAUUCUCAUAAUUUAGGAAAUUUCUUAACUUUUUAUCAAAACUGAAACUCAUGAAAAUAAUUUUGGGAAAUUAUUAAAUUUAGUAAGAAUAUAAGGAUAGGGAUGAGGUGCUUAAUAAGAAUGCUCUUGGACCUAGCGGAGGAAUAACGUGGCCCAGCUCGUCAUCGUAUUAUCUUACUUACGUUGACCCUUUCACGGCUUAUGUAUGGUGUUUAAAAAUUCACAUUAAAGGAUUUAAUUGUUUGUUUUAAUUAACUUGUAGAAUAUAGACAAUAAAAAAAGGGAGAUUUACAGAAUAUAUAAUUUGAACUUUUUUCUAUGAACGCAAGAGAAAAGAUGAUCAAUCUCAUAAAAAGUCAAAUUGAACAUAAUCAAUAAUUAUAAAAAUUAAUUGAAGAUUUUUUCACUGACAAAUUGAAAAACUUUGGACAAUGCGCAAACCUACAAAUUAAUUGGUAUCGUUGGAAGGUCAUAUAGGCAGAAAAUAUUAAAGACGGUUAACGAGAAGUGAAACCUCACAUCGUCUUGAUACUUGGAUUAACAAAUUUAUUAUAUAAAAUGGAGAUCUCAUCUUCAUUUAUAGUGUGUUCGGUCAGAGACAAUAAAAUGUAAUAAAAUGAAUUAAUAAAAUUAUUUGAAAUUAAUAGAGAUAAAAGGGAAAUUUCAAAAGGAAAAAAAUGAAUACAAAAUUAUUACUAUGAUAUUUGAAGAAAAAUGAAUAUAGGAAAAAAUGUAGCAUUGAAUCUCAAUUUGAAGAUGUGAUCUAGCACACAUGAUGAAUGGAAUAAUGGAAUAGAAGAGAAAAUGAAUUGUCUUAACAAUUUCGUAACAUAAUGCAUUUCUCGUUGCCUCUGAAAUCAUUGAUCGCAGCUAAACAAAAGAUUAAUGGGUAAAUCAUUCAAUUUAUAGCUCAGAGAGUACUCAUGGAUCUUAACCAAUAUGAAAGUUUUUAUACAGUAGUAUACUAAUAUUAAUUAUUAUUAAAUAGAUAAUAAAAUUAAAUAUAAUUCAAUAAUUAUAUGGAAAAUGCUAGGGACCCCAAAAAAUUGUCCCAAAUUUUUUUCCCAAAUGAGGUGUCUAAUCCUGAUUGGUUGCAUUUACUCUCAAAAUAAUGAGGCCCCCUUGUAGAUUCAUUCAUCACCCAAUCAUAACUCUCCACUUGUUUGCCACAUCAUUUGGUAACAGUUUUUGGGAAAAUUUUUUGGGAUACCUAGCAUUGCUCUAAUUAUAUUUUACUUUCACAUGGAGUCAUCAAUGCACCACACGGAGUCAUCAAUGCACCACAUGGAUCAUCGUAUAAUUUGGCCGCAAAAGUCUGGGGAGUCUGAUCACCAUUCACCAUCAUUCAACGACUCUCGGAAAGUCAAAUAGUACGAAAAUUCAUGAGAAAACGAUCCCAUUGCCUUGAUGACAACAUUGGAAUAUUACUUAACCUGCACGAGGAACGCUUAAUUAAGAAAACAAGAAAUAAAUAAGGACAACAGAAAUAUGGAAAAUGUUUCCUGCACAAGAUUAUAUAUAUUUUUCAUAAUAUGUUAAAUUUUGAUUGGAAUGAGUCCCUCGUGUACUCACCGGUAACAUAAAUUAAAACGUCUCAUCUCAAUUGUCAUGUUGCCUUGUUCGGGGAAAAUUGACAAUCAUGCCACAAACCCUACGAGACAUGGACGAAUAGUCUCCAACCUCAGAAUUAGGAGUGAGCAAAACACCGAAUAAAUCCGAAAUCGAAACCGCUAAAAAUCGAACCGUAUAAAACCGAACCGAAACCGAAUCCUAUAACUUAUAAAUUGAAACCGAAACCGAUUGUUCGAUUUCGGUUAUAGCUAGGAAUCGAUCUGAGAAAAACCGAACCGAUCCGAUUUUUAAAAUAAAUAUUAUAUAUUAUUUAUAUAUUUAAAAUAAAUUCAUGGAUUCCAAAUAAUCUAAAUUAUGGUGGUCUAGCUAUUACAAUAGACAUAAACAUUAAUAUGUAAAGCUGGUUCUGCUUGAACGAAAAACUAAAAAACUGCCUGGUUCAUGGUCCUGUAAUUCAUCAAGGUUGUGAAUUCAUUCACUGCUGAAUAAACUAUGCUAUCAGGCAGAGAUUUUGUUUCCUUCUAGAGACAAUUCUACAAAUGUUGAUGAUAGAAUCCGAUUUUGUUGCUGAACAAGUUAAAGCCACAACAGUGGAAAAUUUUAGUUCUGCUAUAAAGAAAUUUUAUAACACUUAAUGUUACUGACAUUGUAAUAUUAUAUCCGAUGAUUCUUUCAACAAUAGUUAAGAACUUAUCUUCUGUCGUCCCAGGUCAUGGGUUCGAUUCUGCCUCACUCUGAGAAUAUCUUAGAACAAAAAGCAAGACUAUACGCCAUAUUAGUCAAAAAAGAAGGUUCCAGACAACAAAUAUAAGACACACACGGUGUACCUCAUGUGCCUCCUGUAGAGCUAGGACCGCAUGGCUCUGAAAAUGCAAAUCAAUAUGCAACAACAAACCAAAAUUGCAUAUUACAAUAAAAUUCAAUACGAUAAGUGAAGAUGCAAUUUUAGUUCUUCGUUAUCUUCUUAAUGAAGCAGGUAUAUGAGUGUAUUUGAUUAUGUAUAUGUAAAACAUUUCACGUAAGUAGAAGAUAAAUCAAAUGCAAAGACUUGUAUAAUCAAAUAAGCGCAUUCCUAUUUUCAGCAGAAUAUCAUCUCUGGCCAUUCAUUUGAAAGUGAGGAUUAUAGAAGGUUUUUGUUUAAACCACUUCAAAGAAAUUUGCAGCUUGUGGCGAAGGUGUUCGAUGAGUUGCCUGUAUGAAGAUUUUUUUCAAUUGGUGAGUUUACUUGACAAUAUUUUGUUUUCUUGGAUCGCUACUAAGAACUUUUUAUGCUUUUAACCAUUGGGUUUUUUAAAGUGCUUGGCAUGUCUUCACUUAUUGUGUUUUUGAAGUGUUUGAUUUAGUGCUAGUUAAGACUAGUGGUAUAUGGAAAUCGAUCUUGGAACCUAGAAAUUGCACCAAGGUUGGGCUACCUUAAAAAUUCUCUCUUAAGUGAUUGAUAUAGGAAUUUGGGCCAGGAUGGCUGAGUUAUGGAACCUAAUGCUUUGAGAUCAUCGAGUAUGGAGCUUUGUUUACUCGAUAUUGUGUCAUUUCACGGGUUGUUGAAGCUGAGAGGUCACUCCAUUGAAUUGACCGAGUACUCGUGCUUAUUUUUUAGCUCUGUAAGCAAUAGUCCUCUAGUGGCAAGCAUAACUAGGACAUGUGUCUAUCACAAUCCUUUAAUGGACAGUUUUCUAGUGACAAGCAAAGUCAGGAUCCCUCUAAUGGUAAACAAAGUCAGGGUCCUUUAAUGGCAAGCUAAGUCAGGACAUGAGUUUAAACCUUUAUGGUGCCUGGAAAAUUCUGCGUCGAUUCUCGGGUUAAAAAUCUCGCCAAAUUCUGUUGAGGUAGGCCAUGAGCCUUGAAAUGCCUUUCGAAAGCAGAUGUUAACGAAUUAAGAAAUCGAUGGAGAUUUAAAAGGGAACCAUAACUAGGUUUUCUUCCAGUUUUUUUUAUAGGCUUAUCUUGCUUUGUCAAGUUGCUAUCAUUUUCUUCUAUAAAUCUGACAUCUUAACUUGCAUUCAGACAAGUUGUUGUGAUUCUUGAUCUCUGAUAUCUCUUCCAAUCUAUUUCUUCAAAUUCUUCUCCAUUUAUAAUCUUUCCUUCUCGCUUCUUCUACCUUUACGACUGAUCAUCUAUGGCCUGCAACUGCUAUCACUUUUAUAUUGGCGUCUAAACAUCAGUCCAUUAUCUUCAAGAUAAGAGCUCCACAAAGUUCCCACUCUUUAGUUUGAGGGUAGUUUUAGGGGGAGUGUUAAGGGAUAAGAUAAAAGGGUACUAUGUCUUUUUAUCCAGAACAUUUGUUUUUACUAGAAUUUAGUAUUGUUUGUAACCUUCUAUAUAUUCUUUUUAUGUACUAACUGUAGGAAGACAACUAAAAAGAAAUGUAGUCAAUUACUUUAUUUUCUUUCUUGUUCAUGCAUUACUUUUGAAGUUUACAUUUAUGGGUCUCACCAACACUAACUUAUAAAAUCAUCAGAAGAAUAUAUUGUUCCUUGAACAGAACUAACCAAAGCUGCAACAAAAAUAACAGCUUGCAAUUCUAUUUGUUCACCUCAUAGAGUUAUACAGUGGUCAUUUAUUACGAAACAUUUCAAUUCGUCUAACAACCAUGAUCCCUUGUAAUGAAGCUAAACAAUCUGUUAAACUUACAAUCAAAUCUUACAGGAAACCUUCUGCAACGGACAAACAUCAUUAUAAGAUUCUUAAUAAAUUUAUCUUCAAUCAUCUUAGUAACAGGCUUUAACUCCCUACAACACUCUGCAGAAAGUCACAAACCAUGUUUCCUUGGGCCUUUAACAUGGCAGUUAAAAAGAAUUUGUCCCUAAAGGCUCUAAUGUAAGGUUAAAAAUACUAAUCCUGUUAGGCAGUCUACUUCAUUCAGGAUUUUAAGUUCAAAUCUUAACAUUUAUGCAGUCAAUCUUAAGCAGAAGCAAAUUUAAGAUAGAACAGUAUGUAAAAAUAUUACUAGGCAUCUGCAGAAUUUACUCGCAAUAUUUUCCCUGAUAUACUAUUACAUAACUAGCACGAAAGAACUUUAGCUAAACCAGAAAAGUGGCAUUUUCAUUUUGUUAUCCUCUAAUAGUGGCCCUGUUUAAUGUGGAGGAAACUUCACAUACAAUGUUAAAGCUAGUUUCAGUAAAGUAAUCUAAGGACCGCAGCAAGAUUAUAAUGCAACUGAAUCCGCAAGGCUGAAAGUUCUAUGUUUACAUCAAUAUUAUGCAGAAAAAUAACUGACUGUAAGCUUUUGUUCAUAAUAUCUAUCCUAGAUGGUUAGUUUCAAGCCUUCCGUAAUUCAUAAUAUCACUCACCUUAAAACACCAAUAAUUUAUUCAGACUCAUACGAACUCUUUAGGUGUGGCUGGUGAAACGAGCCCAAAUAACAAUUUUUAUGUCAUAUGUCAUUUUAUAAGCCUUUGGUGAGUGGCCGCAGAACCUAAGCUUAAAACGAUACAACUGUUGGACAAGAAAACAAGAUCAAAAUCUCAACACAACAAACAAACCAACAAUUAGGAGCUCUUAAAUAUUACUCCCUCCCACUAGUUUCGUCUAACUUAAAGAUCCCUGUUUUUUAGGUCGACUUACAGAUUUUACUUGCUAGCUUUAGUCCCCGGCUAAAUUUCAAAUUUCAAUUUUUUUUCCAGACCUUGUAUUUAGGCUUCAGAAAGCGCCAUGCAUCCGGUUUCUGCAACGCUUAGUUGGUUUAGUAUUAUCCUGCCUUCGUCCAUAACUUCCAUGACUCUUUUUUACCCCAACAAACUCUUGUGAGAAGGUGCAUGUCUCGUGAUAAAGUUUUCAAAAUGUAAGGUUUCUGUCAGAAUAUAUUUCAGAAUAUGUUUGAAUAAUUGGAUGUUGAAGUUUCAAAAUGGGGCUUCAGGGUCAAUUUUCUUCAAUUUGUAUACUCUUUGUUCCCCUCUUCAGGUAGUUCUACUCAAUUGUCGAGUUUGAUCACCCACAGAAUAAUAAAAUCUUCUGAUAUAUAGUCCGUUGCAAUGUUGAAUCUAUUUCGGAAACUUGAAAUUAAAGAUAGUUUGGGUAAAGUAAUCUAAGGAUUGCAGAAAAUUAUAAUGCAGAUGAAUCCGCAAGGCAGUUCCAGGUUUACAUCAAUACUAUUGCAUAGGACUAACCGAUUUUAAGCUUUUAUUUAAUAUCAAUCUCAAGAUGGUUAGUUUCAAGCCUCCCAUAAUUCAUAAUAUCACCAAAUCACAACUUUUUUGUCAUUUGUAAGUUUAGCGUGCAUAAAAAUAUAGAAGCCUUCAGUGAGUGGCAGUAGAACCUACCUGAGCUAAUGUUACAAGUAAAUUGGCAAGAAAACAAGCUCAAACUAUCAACACAACAAACUAACAUAUAGGAGCCCCUCCCACUCUUUUUGUCUAAACUUAGAAAUUCACAUUUUAUUCAAUUACAAUAAAUUGAUUGAUAAUUAUCAAAAGAUUAUAUUAUUCUUGAAUAUAUUAACAUAGUUUAUAUUCAAUUUAUGAAACAUGAUAGUUUUGGAACAUGUCCAGGAGAAAAAAUGAGGGCUUCAAAGAAAUAAUGAAAAUAACAAACAACCAAUAUUAGUAAAUAAUUAAAAUUUCAUAUUAUAGUAAUAUCAUAUACAUACAAUCAAGCAAUGUUUAAGUAGAAAUAAAGAUACUGUAUCAUUUUGAGUACCGUUCAAAAUUCAAAUACUAAAUGUCUGAUCACUAAAUAUUCCAUAUAAUGAAAUUGAAGAAAAUAAUGAAAUCUUGAUAGGAAAAAAGUAAGUGCAUCUUAUAUAGUACAAGUCUAAACUUUAAUCGACACAAAUGGAAUUGAAAUACUUCAAAUUAAAUAGAAACAAAUUACCAAUAUCGAAGCCAGACAUUUAAAAUAAGAGACGAACCAUCCAUCUCACUUUUUCCGGAUUCGGUCAAGAAACGUUCUAGUUGGACAGGAAUCUUCUUCAGCUCUUUACAGUCAACUGCUUGAAAACUUUUGAGGCAAGGGAAUGCUCCGUCCUCAACUUGCAAUUCUUCCAGAUGCUUCACUCUUCUCAGUCUUAAAAUUUGAAGAAUCCGAAACGCAUUUUGACUGCAUACCAUUUUAUUUCCAAGGUACACUCUUCCAUCCAACUCAAGAGCCGUAAGAUUCGGUAAAUUUCCCAGGCUAGGCAUUGGAUCUUCCUUUAAGUGACUAUAACAUAGGGUUAAAUCCAUGACUGAAUCUGGCAGAAAACGUAAUUCUUUUAUAGGACCCACUAAGUAGACGCUCUUGAGAAGAUUCAAAGACGAAAGUGAUUCCAGUGAGUAACUUUCUUCAUUAAUAUUUAGCAUAUGUAAUGUACGGAGGUUAGUGAAAUUGACAGUAUCAAUCUUGAUCCAUUCCCUCAAUUGGAUACCUAUCAAAGAAUGGAGUUCUGUUUGGUGGUUACCUAUAUUCAACCUCCCGCUAAUUUGGGAGAUACAAGAAUUUGGGAAAUUUAAAAACAUGACAAUUCGGGUGUGGGGAUACGGCAAAUAUUAAAAUAUUUUAUAUACUCAAAAUCAUCCAAAUACAAUUACAUUAAAUCAACUACCGUCGAGUAACAUCACUGCUUUCUUAUAUUGAAUCAUCGUAUCUACAACUGCAAGUGUUUAUAGUUUAUACACCGGUCUAAUAGAAUUCGUGUGGGGUACGUGCAUAUGUAAAUGAAAAUGAGGGUACAUGUAUAAAAAAUGUGCUGCAGAAUAGGUGUUCAAGUAUCUUUAUUCACUUGCUAAAAGCACCAAGUGAAAUACAAACUUGAAUAAACAAAAACAUAAGUAUUAAGCUGGAAUGUAAUACAAACUGCACAACACAACAAGCAAAAGUGAAAUAUUUACAAUAUAUGCCAAUCCCGCACCCUCAUAUCCGAGAGUUCGUCGAUGCAUCACCACGUGACCUUUACGCACCCGUGGACCCCGUACUUAGUGAGUACGGGAUACAUUUUUUUUCCAAAUAUAUUAACAUAAUUUAGAUUCAAUUUAUCAAAUAUGAUAAUUUUGGAACAUGUACAGAAGAAAAUGAAGGCUAACAAACAACCAAUAUUAGUAAAUAAUAAAAAAAUUAUAUUAAUAGUAAUAUCAUAUACAUAUAAUCAAGCAAUAUUUAAACAGAAAAGAAAGAUAUCACUGUGAAUGCCAUCAAAAAUUUAAAAACUAAAUGUAUGAUCACCAAAUAUUCCAUAUAAUAAAAUUGAAGAAAAUGAUGAAAUCUAGAAAGGAAAGAAAUAAGUGUAUUUUAUAUAUAAAAGACAAGUCUAAAUUUUAAUUGACAUAAAAUGAAAUUUAAAUAUUUCAAAUAAAGAACAAGUUACCAAUAUCGAUAUAAGACCUCUAAAAUAAGAGAGAAACCAUCCAUCCCACUUUUUUCUGAUUUGGUCAAGAGACGUUCUAGUUGGACAGGAAUCCUCUCCAGCUGCUUACACCCAAAUGCUUGAAAACUUCUGAGACAAGCGAAUGCUCCGUCCUUGACUUGCAAUUCUUCCAGAUCGUUGAAGCGUCUUAGUCUUAAAAUUUGAAGACUCGGAAACGCAUUUUUACUACAAACCAUUUUAUUUCCAAUGUAAUAAUUUACAUCCAACUCAAGAGCCGUAAGAUACGGUAAAUUUCCCAAGCUAGGCAUUGGAUCAUUCCUUAAUUUACCACAGUAUAUGGUUAAAUCUAUGACUGAAUCUGGCAGAAAACGUAAUUCUGAUGAAUCUUCCAUAGCACCCACUAAGUACACACUCUUGAGAAGAUUCAAAGACGAUAGUGAUUUCAACGAGUAAUCUCCAUCAAUAUUUAGAAUAUGUAAUGUACGGAGGUUACUGAAAUUGGAUGUAUCAAUCUUUACCCAUUCCCUCAUUUGUAUUCCUAUCAAAGAAUGGAGUUCUGUUUGGUGGCUACCUAUAUUCAACCUCCCGCUAAUUUCAAUGAAUAAAUAGUACAAAUGCCUCAACUCAGGCAGCUCCCACAUCUCUCUGGGAACUGUGUAAUAACUGCCAUCGCUCCCACCCCAUAAAGAUUGUAACUUUUUCAGCUUGCCUAUACUUGCUGGCAUUGCUAAUGUUCCACGGUGAGAACCCAUUAAGCCUAAGAACUUCAAGAGAACCAAGUCACCUAUUUCUUCUGGUAUCCACUCUGCUUGUACACUUGACAUAUCUAGCACUUUGAGAUUUUUAAAUCUCGUGUACAUCAAUUUCAUUUCUUUUAAUUCCGCUUUCACAUUAUAACCUAGCAUCAGUAGCGAAUGCAAAUAUAAAGCAUCAAAUCUACGCUGCUCAAGUAAUUUCAAGUACUCACCAAUUCCAUCGAAGAUAGCAUGACGCCGUUGUCCUUUCAAUAAAUGGAUGAGAUUUGGUUGGUGUUUACUUGAAUCAAAAAUAACCAACAACUUCUGCUCCUUUGCUGUUUUUAUGGCAAGUUCACGCACAAGAUCAUGGACCCGGCAUCUGCCAACUUUCCCAUUCACUAGCAACGACUGAAUCUGAAUCAAGUUGCGAUUAAUUAGCUCGUUCAGACAAUCCUCGGCCAAAUCUUCCAUGAGUACUCCAUCUCCUUCUUUAUCUUCUGAUAUGAAUUCCUCUGCAAUCCAUAAAUGCUUCAAACGUUCGACUUCAAUAACAGCGUCUUCUGGGAAUCUUGCAAGGUAGAGAAAACAAUCUUUCAGGUGGGGAGACAAGUCUUUAUAACUCAAGCUAAGUAUUUCUACAAUAUCCACGGAGUCAUCCCUCAAGUUUCGCCAGAUAUGCUGCUUCACCUUUGACCAAUAGUCGUAGCUUUUGUUGUGAAAUAAAAGUCCGCCCAGUAUCACAAUUGCAAGUGGUAAACCUCCACAUUUACCAACCAUCUCCCUUCCCAAGUUCUCCAAAUUCUGGGUUGGAUCUGCUGUCUUGCAGAACAAUUCCCAGCUUUCCUCUUCCCUCAAAAAACGAAGUUGAUAGGCUAAACCAUUCUUAUCCACAGUCUCUGCGACUUUCUUGUUUCUCGUGGUAAUGAUGAUCCUACUACCGUUGUCCUGGUUUGGAAAUGAGGUCUUGAUCUGGUUCCAAGCGUUUAUAUCCCAUAUAUCAUCAAUAAGUGCCAGAUAGCACCCUUGCUCUUUCAGUAAUUCUGACAAGUAGUGCAGCAACCGAUGCUCAUCCAUGUUUGAUAUAAGUUGGUCUUCCUCAGGUCCCUUGAAAGACAUUAUUAUCCUCUUAAGGACAUCUUUGAUGUUAUAAUCGUUGGAGACACAAACUUUAGCACGGGUGCCAAAAUUUUUCAACUCGUGAGAGUUGUACAACUUGGUGGCAAGUGAAGUCUUGCCUAAUCCCCCCAUUCCGUGAAUGGAAAUAAUUUUAAGAGCCGGAUCCUGGCUAUUAAGUUCUUCCAUCAACUUGUCAAUAUCCUCCUUAAAACCAACGACAUCCACAUGUUUAUCAAUGGCGCUUGUUCUUAUUAAGGUUCUCUCUUUCUGCUUCAUGUCUGGACCGGCUAGAAUAUUGUCGAUGCCAUACUCAAGUCGCCUCUCCUUGAUCACACCGAUCCUUGUCUUGAGUGACUCGAUAUUGUUGCCAAUGUCAUAAAGCUGAGCUUCUUUCUUGCAGAUGCAAAUACAGAUGAGAAAUCUAUCCAUAUGACCUUGUUCCAGACUGGCUUGUCCAUCCUGAAACCUCUUCAGGAUAUCCACAGCUUCAUUGGCAACUUCUCUGACAGUGUUUAGCCAUAGACCGAUGAGUUUCUCUUCUUGCCUUGAUUCUGCUCUUUCGACAGAAGCCUGGAGGAAGCCCAAUUCAUCUUUGAGCCAUCUUAUAUCAUCUCUAACUCCUAUGCGUAUGUUAACCUGGCGAACAAGAAAAUCACCAAGGUUUUCAAUUGCGAAAGAUAGCACAGCAUCUGCCAUACUUCUCGAAGUCAGAAAGGAAGGAAGGCUGGGAAAUAUUGGCAAAAGAGUUUGGUAGGAGAUCAGUGAGAGAGUAAGGGAGUAAGAGUACUUCAAAGUGGAUCAGUGGAACAUAUUAUUUAUCAUAAUUUAAGUUUGUAUUAAAAUAUUGAUUUUGAGGGAUGUUCGAUUAGUGUGAACGAAACGUGGAGAUUCACGUGUAGAUGUCGGGAGCUUUUUAAGAUGCACAUGAGACGAAUAAGUUUUUUAAUACUCCGCAUGGAAUCAUAAGUUCACUAAAAAUCCUGUGUACAUAUUAUAAAGACUUUGGCUUUGAAAACUGAUGCAACUUUUUCUGCUUAUAUUCUUCUUGCCAUGUGGUAUGUGGUUGUUGUGUUUGUUUUAUAGCAACUGCAAGUUGAGCUGAAUAAAGAAUGAAUAAAGAAUGGAGUUUUGUUCGGUGGCUAUCAAUAUUCAAACCCCCCGCAAAUUUUAAUGAAUAUAUAACUCACACAGCUCGAAUAUCUCCCUGGGAACGGUGUAGAACUGUAGAUCUACCCAGCCCGUCCCAUAAAGCUAUAAAGAUUGUACUAUUCAAUGUUAUUUGGGGCUGUUCGACUUGGUUUACAACAAGUUACUUACUAACAAUUAGAAGUAAAAAGUUGUUUAUAAGCGAAAAAUAAAUUUUAAUUUAUCUGUGUAGAUUUAGUUCAAAUAAUCUCCACUGCCUCAGGCAUCUGUAAAUCCAAGGUGCUGUGCAAUACAACGCAGUAUUUCAAAUAUGAACUCCUCUACCUCCGCUGCAUGUUCCUGACAAAGGGCUGAACUGAUGAACUGUCCUACAAAACACGGUAUAUUUCAAAUAUGGACUCAAAAAUAUUUCUUCUUAGUGGUUCACAGUACUACACGUAAUGAUAAUGAUAGUGAAGUCGAGAUGCAGAGGAUAUGGAUAUAAUAUCAUUUAAGACACAAGAAAGUUUGCUGAUCACAACAUUGCAUCAAAUUUUAAUUUGACAGAGUAUUGAAAUCGAUCAUGCAGUUCUACAAUGCAUUUAUGCCACUCCCUCCGUCGCAGCUAUUUGUAUACAAAUGGUUGGGACACGGAGACCAAGAAAUUGUGUAAUAAAUGAGUAAAGUUGGAUGAAAAGUGGGUAUAGUGGUGGGAUCCAUAUAUAUUUAAUAAUAAAUUUGAGAUGGUGGAAGAAAGUAGUGGGUGUAAUAGUGUUUAUAUUAUUAUAAAAUGGAAAUAGUGGAACAAAGUAGCUGAUGUAAUGAUAUUUUAUAUUGGUGGGACGUCCCAAAAAGGAGGGAGUAUUGAGUAUUGUGGCCCCAAUGGCUGACAGUAUAAAAUUUCAGAGCCGGAAAAAAUAUACGCCUCCUCUGUUAAUAGACCAAAAUUAGGCAAGAUACAAGAACAGAAGUGCUUUAGUUUCUGCUCUUCACCCUAUAUUAUACAUAUUAUCUUACUUGGACAAUAGGAAUUUCUGUGGUGAAAAGUCCAUGACAAUGCAAUAAUAUCUACCAGUCUACCACAACUCAAAACUGCAGAAGCUUGAACAAAGUAAUAUGCCUAUUCAUCAGUUCUGUGUUUGGUUCUAAAUUAAAGGCAAUGCCUAUAGUUAAUUUUGAAUUACCAUUAUUGGACUUGGAUGUCUAAGUAGGAGAAACUCAAACUCCAUGAGGGAUUUCUUAUGAUUUAAGCUCAAGUUCACAGAUUUAACUUGGGUCCCUUGAAAGACAUUGUUUAUCCUCUCAAGGACAUCUUUGAUGGUAUGUAAAUUAAAAUGAGGUAUAUGUACAUCAAAUGAGGAUAUAAGUACAAGAAAUGUGCUGCGAAAUCGGUAUUAAAGUAUUUUUAUUCAGUGCUAAAAGCCCCAUGUAAUAUACAAACUUGAAUAAACAGUAUUAAGCAUGAAUAUAAUACAAACUGCAGAACAUAAUAAGCAAAAGUGAAAUAUUUACAAUAUAUGCCAUUCCCGACCCUCAUAUCCGAGAGUUCGUCGACAUGCCACGUGGCAUAUCCAGUACGCGCACCCCUCACAUCACAUUUAGUGCGUACGGGAUAUGUAAUUCCUUCUGGAGAAGAAUCCCUCCUUUCUAGGUCGACGAAAACUCAAGUUAAAGAUUUUACUUGCUAGCUUUAGUUCCCAGCUCAAUUUCAAAUUCUGAAAAUAUUGUCCAAAACAUUGUAUUAGGCUUCAGAAAGCGCCAUGCCCAUGCCUCUGAUUACUGCAAAGCUUAGUUGGUUUAGUAUUUCUGUCAGAGUAUAUUUAAGUUUGUAUAAAAAUAUUGAUUUGAGCACAUUGAGAUGCACAUUGAGAUGUUGGGAGUUUUUUAAGAUGCACAUGAGAAGAAUAGGUUUUUUAAUAGUCAUAUGGAAUCAUGAUUCACUAAAUUGUCCUCUGUACAUUUUAUAAAGACUUUGGCCUUGAAAACUGAUGCAGCUUUUUCUACUUAUUUUCUUCUUCCCAUGUGGUUGUGUUUCUUUUGUAGCAACUUCAAGUUGAGCUGAGUUAACUAAUUAUACCAAAAUAUACUGUAACAAAUAAUGUAUGGAGCUUAAUAAAAUUGACAGUAUCAAUCUUGACCCAUUCCUAUCUAUACUGAAUAAAGAAUGGAGUUUUGUUCGGUGACUACCAAUAUCUUCAAACCCCGCUAAUUUUAAUGAAUAUAUAACUUAGGCAGCUCCCAUGUCUUCCUGGGAAGUGGGAACUGUGUAGAUCUACCGAGCCCGCCCCAAUCCCCAUAAAUCUAUAAAGAUUGUACUAUUCAAUGUUAUUUGGGGGACGUUCGACUUGGUUUAAAAAAAGUUACUACUUGUGAGCAAAAAGUUAUUAUAAGUGAAAAAUAAAUUUUGAUUUAUUUAUUUGGGUAAUCUUAUGAUAAUUUAUAACUAAUAGGUAUAGAAAUUAGUAUUAGAAUAGUAAAACUAGCUUAGAAGGUACGGGCACCGUUGUGUAUACUAAUAUGUGUUUGAAUAAAAGGUUAUAGGCUGAUGUGUGUUUGAAUAAAAGGAUAUAUGUAGAUUGCUGUGUAGUUUUCUUCUCCAAGAACUUAUGAAUCAAAGCUGUGUUUUAUAUUUCAUGCUGUCUCUAUGGAAUCACAAAUUUGUCAUUCUAUGAUGAGAGAAUCCUAAUUAUGAAGAUAUACUUCAAAUGACGUCCACUGCCUCAGUCAUUUGUAUAUGAUGCAGGCUGCAACAGGACUGCCUUUCGAAAAUCCAAGGUGCUGUGCUAUAGAACUCUUGCCUUUAGAAGCAAUGAAGAGGGUUGUCGAGCAAAACCAGAAAUUUCAAGUUUGUGAGUUAACAGUUAUUGAGAAACACAAAUAAUUAUUCAUAAUUGUUCCCUUUCUGUGACGAAUUUCAGCCACUUUUUUGCUAAUUUUAAAAAUCAGCCACAUUUUUACAAGUCAGUUUAUAAUAUAGUGAAACUUCUGAAAUUUACUCUUAUUUGAAAUGAUGCAGGGACCACCGCAACCCCAGUAAGCAGCGAUAACAUAUAAUAUUUGAGCUGCAACCGUUAAAAGCAUUUGGCAAGAACUUAAUCCGACUAAUGUUAAUAUGCUUUAGACAAUGAGUAAUGGUACGUAUCUCAAAUUUUGUUUCCAGUUUUUUUUUUCCAAAUGACGUGGCAGACAGAUGACUAAUUUUAAUUGCGUGGUUUAUGUACAUAGAUACGGGGGUCUCAUUAUCAUUAGUGUGAGCGAAACCAAUCACAUUGCCAAUAAGAUUUGAGAACACUUUCUGGUAUCUAGUAUUUCCUAUCAAACAUCGCUAAAGACGAGAAUUGUACCAGUAUUCAUUAUCAUUUGUUCUUGAGUCUUACAAAGCUUAAGUUAUCAGUUAUGGUUGAACCUCGCGAAGGAGGAUCAUCGUAUAGUUUGGCCGCAAAAGUCUGGGGAGUCUGAUCACCACCAUGCAACGAUGCUUGGUAAGUCAAAUAGUACAAAAACUAUGAGAAAACGAUCUCAUAACUCAUUACCUUGAUGACAACAUUUGGAAUACUUCUUUCCCUGCACGAGGAACGGUUGGGGCCAUUUGAAAACUUCUGAAUGCUGCUGAACUGAUUGAAAACUGAAUCGCUCAGUCGCUAAGCUCGUUUGAUAAAUUACUAUAUUAUCUGAUUGAUUCUUAAAACUUACUGAAACAUUCUGUGUUUUAAUUUUUAUUUUUUUUGAAUCAUUCAGAUUAUAAUAUUUACGGAAACUUGACUACUGCAAUACAUAUUUUGCAAGUGUUGAAUAAUUAAUAUAUUGUUUCCUAUUGUUUGAAAUCAUUAACCAUGAAAUUAAUUUGAUAUUUGUUGAUCUCCUGUAUACAAUUAUAUUAUUUAAUUAUUCCUUAAAGAAUACAAUUAUUUUUUCCAAAAUUAGUAUCCUUUUUGAAGGCUUAAUGACCUUUUAGCUCUCGAAAUAUGGGUGAAAGUUCCGAUGCGGCCUCAAUGUUUAAAGCCGUUCGAUUCGACCCUUAAAGUUUCACUAUUGUAUCUUUUAGCCUUUUCUUUUCUUUCAAAUAACGGUAUAUAACGGGGAUAAACUUGACAAUUCAUAUUCAGGAUAAAGUCUGGGUGUAUUCUUUUAAGCCCUAAAAUAUACAUCUCGUUCCUUUUAACCCCUGAAGAAUACAUUAAAAUACAUUAGAUGUUACUUUUAACCCUCGAUGUUUAAUGCCUUUUUAACCCUCGCGUGUGAAAUAUCAACUUUGUCCACCCCGUUAUAUACCGGUAUACGCCACAAGGGCUAAAAGGUAUAAUCUAAAAACUUGAAGGGUCGAAUCAAACGACUUUAAACUUUGAGACUGCAUCGAAACUUCCACCCAUACUUCGAGGGCUAAAAGGUCACUAAACCUUUUUUGAAUUAUAUAAUGUUCUCUUAUAUUUUCGUGACUAUAUUUUCAUUGAUUAAAAUAUUGAAUAAAUCUUAUAAUUAUUUGAUUACUGUGUUUAAUAGGUAUCAUAACUUAUAAUUAAAUAUAUUUUUCGAAGAGAAAAUUGUAAAAUUAAAAUUCAGGUCAUUCUGAAAAAUUGCGUAUCAAAUAAUUUUAUUCAUCUAUAUCAUUCUGAUAUCUUAAUUGGGUUUGUCUAGUGUGCUUAUGGGCACGUGUUAAGCACCAAAUUUUAUAAGUUUGAUGGUUUUUUAUUGGUAUGGUUGGUGAAUUUGUAGGGGGGUCCACCAUUAUAAAAAGUAGGAGCCAAUAAAAAUCCACCAAACUUAUAGAAUUUGGUGUUUAGUGUGUGGUUAUGAGCACACUCACUAGAAAAAUCGAUAUUAAUUAAUCAGAUAAAUAACAUUUAGACUUGUCAAAUGACCGGUCAAGAAUACAAGAAAUAAAUAAGGACAGCAAGAAAUAAAUAAGGACAGCGGAAAAACAGAUGUAUCAACAAAUCUCUGCGUUAUGAUAGUACUGAAUGGCCUUCUGGGCGAAAAAAGUCAAAUUAGCAAUCUCUUAUUGAGUUAAAAUUAAAUACUUCCUCGUCUCACCCAUUUUUUUAUAUUUUUUUUUGGGGUGUUCCAUCCAAUUAUUUAUAUUUUAAAACUUAUCAAAAAUAGUCAAUGGAUCCCAUCAAUUCUCCAUUUUUUUCUUUUUCACACUACUUUUAUUCCACUAUCUUCUUUUUAUAGAUUAAAAGUCAAUGGAUCCCACCACUUUACCCAUUUUUCUUCCUCUUUUUCACUAUUUUAUAUAUAUUUCUUAACCUGCAUACCCAACCCAUUCGAUAAGAAAUGGUGGGACUAUUGAAUGCCCUGUGGAUUUCUCGCACGAGAGAUGCUGAAGUAACAGAAUGAAAUUAAUGGUCUUAAUAGAAAUAAGAAUAAGCAAUGCCAUGAUACUGGUACCUAAACAAUUUUUAGCCAAUAUCAUCAUAUCAAGGACCUCUGUAUCUGAUUAUGUAUAUGUACAUCAUUUGACGUAAUUAGAAAAUAUUUCAAAUGCAAAGACUUGUAAAAUCAAAUAAGCGCAUUCCUAUUUUCAGCAGAAUAUCAUCUCUGCCCAUUCAUUUCAAAGUGACGAUUACCAAAGGUUCUUGUUUAAACCAGGUCAAAGAAAUUUGCAGCUUGUUGGGUGAUGCGGCGAAGGUGUUCGAUGAAAUGCCUGUAUGAAGAUUUUUUCCAAUUGGUGAGAUUACUUGACAAUAUUUUAUUUUCUUGGAUCGCUACUAAGAACUUUUUAUGCUUGUGACCAUUGGGUCUUUUAAAGUGCUUGGCAUGUCUUCACUUUAUUGUGUUUUGAAGAGUUUGAUCUAGCGCUGGUUAAGACUAGUGGUAUAUGAAAAUUGAUCUUGGAACCUAGAAAUUGCACCUAGUUUGGGCUACCUUAAAAAUACUCUUUUAAGUGAUUGAUUUAGGAAUUUGGGUCCGGAAUCCGGAUGGCUGAGUUAUGGAAUGGAGCUUUGUUUACUCGAUAUUGUGCCAUUUCACGGGUUGUUGAAGCUGAGAGGUCACUCCAUUGAAGUGACCGAGUACUGAUGCUUAUUUUUAGCUCUGUAAGCAAUACUCUAGUGGCAAGCGUAAUUUGGACAUGUGUCUAUCACAAAUUUCUAAUGGUUGGCAAGCCAAAUCAUGACUUUAAAGAAGUUGAAAUAGUUUUCUAGUGACAAGCAAAGUCAGGAUCCCUCUAAUGGUAAACAAAGUCAUGGUCCUUUAAUGGCAAGCUAAGUCAGGAUGUGAGUUUAAAUAUGUAUGGUGAACCUGUAUGGUGCCUGGAAAAUUGUGCGUCGAUUCUCCGGUUAAAAAAUCUCGCCAAAUUCUGUUGAGGCGAUGAGCCUUGAAAUGCCUUUUGAAAGCAGAUGUUACUACUGGUGAAAAGGAAUUAAGAAAUCGAUGAAGAUUUAAAAGGGAACCAUAAGUAGGUUUUCUUCCAAUUUUUUGAUAGGCUUAUCUUGCUUUGUCAAGUUGCUAUCAUUUUCUUCUAUAAAUCUGACAGCUUAACUUGCCUUCAGACAAGUUGUUGUGAUUCUUGAUCUCUCAUAACUCUUCCAAUCUAUUUCUUCAGUUUUUUCUCCAUUUCUAAUCUUUCCUUCUCGCUUCUUCUACCUUUACGACUGAUCAUCUUCUUUAUAUGGCCUGCAACUACUAUCACUUUUAUAUUGGCGUCUAAACAUCAAUCCAUUAUCUUCAAGAUAAGAGCUCCACAAAGUUCCCACUCUUUAGUUUGAAGGUAGUUUGAGGGGGAGUGUUAAGGGACAAGAUUAAAGGGUACUAUGUCUUUCUAUCUGGAACAUUUGUUUUUACUAGAAUUUAGUAUUGUAACCUUCUAUAUAUUCUUUUUAUGUAGUAACUGUAGAAAGACAAGUAAAAAGAAAUUUAGUCAAUUAAUUUAUCUUCUUUCUUGUUCAUGCAUUGCUUUUAAAGUUUACAAUUAUGGGUCUCACCAUCACCAACUUAUAAAAUCAUCAGAAGAAUAUAUUGUUCCUUGAACAGAACUAACCAAAGCUGCAACAAAAAUAACAACUUGCAAUUCUAUUUUUUCACCUCAUAGAGUUAUACAGUGGUCAUUUAUUACGAAACAUUUCAAUUCGUCUAACAACCAUGAUCUCUUGUAAUGAAGCUAAACAAUCUGUUAAACUUACAAUCAAAUCUUACAGGAAACCUUCUGCAACGGACAAACAUCUACUGUACAUUAUAAGAUUAUUAAUAAAUUUAUCUUCCAUCAUCUUAGUAAAAGGCUUUUACGCCCUACAACACUCUGCAGAAAGUCACAAACCAUGUUUCCUUGGGUCUUUAACGUGACAGUUAAAAAGAAUUUGUCCCUAAAGGCUCUAAUGUAAGGUUAAAAAUACUAGUCCUGUUAGGCAGUCUACUUCCUUCAGGAUUUAAGUUCAAAUCUUAACAUUUAAGCUGUCAAUCUUAAGCAGAAACAAAUUUAAGAUAGAACAGUAUGUAAAAAUAUUACUAGGCAUCUGCAGAAUUUACUGGCAAUAUUUUCCCUGAUCUUACAUAACUAGCACGAAAGAACUUUAGCUAAACCAGAAAAGUGGCAUUUUCAUUUUGUUAUCCUCUAAUAGUGGCUCUGUUUAAUGUGGAGGAAACUUCACAUGCAAUGUUAAAGCUAGUUUCAGAAAAGAAAUCUAAGGAUCACAGCAAGAUUAUAAUGCAACUGAAUCCGCAAGGCUGAAAGUUCUAGGUUUACAUCAAUAUUAUGCAGAAGAAUAACUGACUGUAAGCUGUUAUUCAUAAUAUCGAUCCUAGAUGGUUAGUUUCAAGCCUUCCAUAAUUCGUAAUAUCACUCACCUUAAAAGUUAAAACACCAUUAAUUUAUUCAGACUCAUAUGAACUCUUUAGGCGUGGCUGGUGAAACGAGCCCAAAUAACAAUUUUUAUGUCAUAUGUCAUUUAAUAUGGCGUGCAUAAAGAUAUAGAAGCCUUUGGUGAGUGGCCGCAGAACCUAAGCUUAAAACUUUACAACUGUUGGACAAGAAAACAAUCUCAAAAUCUCAACACAACAAACAAACCAACAGUUAGGAGCUCUUAAAUAUUACUCCCUCCCACUAGUUUUGUCUAACUUAAAAAAUCCCUGUUUUUUAGGUCGACGAAACUCAAUUUACAGAUUUUACUUGCUAGCUUUAGUCCCUGGCUAAAUUUCAGAUUUAAAAAAAUUGUCCAAACAUUGUAUUUAGUCUUCAGAAAGCGCUAUGCAUCCGGUUUCUGCAAAGCUUAGUUGGUUUAGUAUUAUCCUGCCUUCGUCUAACUUCCAUGACUCUCUUUUUCACCUUAACAAACUCUUGUGAAAAGGUGCAGGCCUCAUGAUAAAGUUUUAAAAUUUAAGGUAUUUUUCUGUCAAAGUAUAUUUCAGAAUAUGUUUAAAUAUAUAAUUGGGUGUUGAAGUUUCAAAAUGGGGCUUGAGGGUCAAUUUUCUUCGAUUUGUAUAUUCUUUGUUCCCCUCUUCAAUUAGUUCUACUCAAUUGUCGAGUUUGAUCACCCACAGAAUAAUAAAAUGUUCCUAUAUAUUGUCCGUUGCAAUGUUGAAUCUAUUUCGGAAACUUGAAAUUAGGCUUGAGUAUAAUUAUCCGAAACCGAUCCAAACCGGCCGAUCCAAACAGUCCAAACCGAAUAUUUCGGUUUCUCAACGGUUUGGUUUGGUUUUGGUUUUGAUAAUUAGAAAACCGAAAAUUUUCCGUUUAGUUUCGGUUUUCACCUUCAAACCGAUCGAAAUAUCCGAACCGAACCGUUAGCACAUGUGUUAUAUAAUUAUUAUUUUUAUAUAUUUAAUUAGGUAUUUAAGUGUUCAAGUGUUAGAUCAAUAUUAUAGAUAUUUUUCUUACUUUUGAAAUUGUUCUUCUCCUUUUUCUCCAUCUUUAUUUUAUUAAUUCUUCAUUAAUAAUCAACCUUUCAUCUUUUUCUUUUUUAAAUAAAAUAUUUUGUUUAGUUUUUAAAAUAAAAUAAAUUAUUUGUUUCAUAACAACGUAUUAGGGUAGCACCUGAAAUUAUUUAUAUCGAAGAGUUAUACAAGUUUCACCUUUAUUUAAUAAAUUUUGUGAAGUGACAAAAAAGGGAACACCUAAACUUAUUAUGAUUUAAUAAAAGUGUACAAUUAUUUUUAAUAUUUUGGUAUUGAACCGAAACCAAACCGAACCGAUCCGUUAAGAAUCGGUUCGGUUCGGUUUGGUUUUUAUAGCUUUUGGUUGUUAAUUUUCGAAACCGAAAAUUUCGCUUUGGUUCGGUUUGGACCUCCAAACCGUCCAAACCGAACCAUGCUCAGCCCUACUUGAAAUAUUAAAGAUAGUUUCGCUAAAGUAAUCUAAAGAUUGCAGAACAUUAUAAUGCAGCUGAAUCUGCGAGGCAGUUCCAGGUUUACAUCAAUACUAUUGCAUAAGACUAACUGAUUGUAAGCUGUUACUCCUAUUUAAUAUCAAUCCCAAGAUGGUUAGUUUCAAGCCUCCCAUAAUUCAUAAUAUCACCGAAAAGAAUAACUAAAAGUAACAUGAAACCUUUAGGCAUGGCUGGUGAAAGGAACCCAAAUCACACUUUUAAUGUCAAUGUAAGUUUAUGUAGCAUGCACAAAGUCACAAUUUUUAUGUCAUCUGUAAAUUUAUGUAGCAUGCAUAUAGAAGCCUUCAGUGAGUGGCAGUAAAACCUACGCACCUGAGCUAAUGUUACAAGUGUUUGGUAAGAAAACAAGCUCAAACUCUCAACACAACAAACAAACUAGGAGUAAGUGAGUAACAGAUGGCAUGGGAGCCCCUCCCACUCAUUUUGUCUCAACUCAAAAAUCCACAUUUUAUUCGAUUACAAUAAAUUAAUUGAUAAUUAUCAAAAAAUUAUAUUAUUUUUAAAUAUAUUAACAUAGUCUAUAUUCAAUUUAUGAAAUAUGAUAGUUUUGGAACAUGUUCAGGAGAAAAAAAAUGAGGGCUUCAAACAAAUAAUGAAAAUAACAAACAAUCAAUAUUAGUAAAUAAUUAAAUUUUCAUAUUAUAAUAAUAUCAUAUACACACAGUCAAGCAAUAAUUAAAUAGAAAGAAAGAUAUCGCUUUGAAUACCGUCCAAAAUUCAAAUACUAAAUGUCUGAUCACCAAAUAUUCCAUAUAAUGAAAUUGAAGAAAAUAAUGAAAUCUUGAUAGGAAAGAAAAAUAAGUGCAUCUUAUAUAUUACAAGCCUAAACUUUAAUCGACACAAAUGGAAUUGAAAUACUUCAAAUUAAAUAGAAACAAAUUACCAAUAUCGAAAAAAGACGUUUAAAAUAAGAGAGAAACUAUUCAUCUCACCUUUACCGAAUUCGGUCAAGAAACGUUCUAGUUGGAUAGGAAUCUUCUUCAGCUCUUCACAGUCAAGUGCUUGAAAACUUUUGAGGCAAGGGAAUGUUCCGUCCUCGACUUGCAAUUCUUCCAGAUUGUAGACACUUCUUAGUCUUAAAAUCUGAAGACUCCGAAACGCAUUUUGACUACAUACCAUUUUAUUUCCAAGGUACACUCUUCUAUCUAACUCAAGAGCCGUAAGAUUCGGUAAAUUUCCCAAGCUAGGCAUUGGAUCUUCCUUUAAGUGACUGUUACAUAGGGUCAAAUCCAUGAUUGAAUCUGGAAGAAAACGUAACUCUUUUAUAGGACCCACUAAGUAGACGCUCUUGAGAAGAUUCAAAGACGAAAGUGAUUCCAGUGAGUAACCUUCUCCAUCAAUAUUUAGCAUAUGUAAUGUACUGAGGUUAAUGAAAUUUACAGUAUCAAUCUUGACCCAUUCCCUCAUUUGUAUACCUAUCAAGGAAUGGAGUUUUAUUUGGUGGCUACCUAUAUUCAACCUCCCGCUAAUUCCAAUGAAUAAAUAGUACAGAUGCCUCAACUCAGGCAGCUCCCACAUCUCUCUGGGAACUGUGUAAUAACUACCAUCGCUCCCACCCCAUAAAGAUUGUAACUUUUUCAGCUUGCCUAUACUUGUUGGCACUGCUACUGUUUUACCGCCAUUACUCAUUAAGCCUAAGAACUUUAAGAGAACCAAGUCCCCUAUUUCUUCUGGUAUCCAAUGUGAUUCUACACUCGACAUAUCUAGCACUUUGAGAUUUAUAAAGCUCGUGUAAAUCAACUUCAUUUCUUUUAAUUCCACUUUAUCUUCAUAACCUUCGAGCAGGAGAGAACGCAAAAAUGAAGCAUCAAAUAUAUGCUGCUCAAGUGAUUUCAAGUACUUACCAGUUCCAUCAUAAAUAGCAUGACGCCGUUGUCCUUUCAAUAAAUGGAUGAGAUUUGGUUGGUGUUUACUUGACUCAAAAAUAACCAACAACUUCUGCUCCUUUGCUUUUUUUAUGGCAAGUUCACGCACAAGAUCAUGGACCCGGCAACUGCCAACUUUCCCAUUCAAUUGCAAAUACUCAAUCUGAAUCAAGUUGCGAUUACUUAGCUCGUUCAGACAAUCCUCGGCCAAAUCCUCCACGAGUACUCCAUCUCCUUCUUCAUCUUCUGAUAUGAAUUCCUCUGCAAUCCAUAAAUGCUUCAAACGUUCGACGUCAAUAAUUUGGUCUUCUUGGAAUCUUGCAAGGUAGAGAAAACAAUCUCUCAUUUGGGGAGACAAGUCUUUAUAACUCAAGCUGAGUAUUUCUACAAUAUCCACAGAGUCAUCCGUCAAGUUUCUCCAGAUAUGCUUCUUCACCUUUGCCCAAUAGUCAUAGCUAUUGUUGUGCAAUAAAAGGCCGCCCAGUAUCACAAUUGCAAGUGGUAAACCUCGACAUUUACCAACCAUCUCCUUUCCUAAGUUCUCCAACUGGUCGGUUGGUUGUGCUGUCUUGCAGAACAAUUCCCAGCUUUCCUCUUCCCUCAAGAAACGAAGUUGAUAGGCUAAACCUUUGUUAUCUACAGUCUCUGCUACUUUCUUGUUUCUCGUGGUAAUGAUAAUCCUACUACCGUUGUCCUGGUUUGGAAAUGCAGUUUUGAUCUGGCUCCAAGCGUUUAUAUCCCAUAUAUCAUCAAUAAGUACCAAAUAGCAACCUUGAUUCUGGAGUAACUUUGACAGGUACUGCAGCAAGUCAUGCUCAUCCAUGUUUGACAUAUAUUGUUCGUGCUCAGGUCCCUUGAAAGACUUUACUAUCCUCUUAAGGACAUCUUUGAUGGUAUAUUCUCCGGAGACACAAACUUUAGCACGGGUGCCAAAAUCUCUCAACUCGUUAGAGUUGUACAACUUGGUGGCAAGUGAAGUCUUGCCCAAUCCCCCCAUUCCAUGAAUGGAAAUGAUUUUAAGGGCCGGAUCCUCGCUAUUAAGUUCUUUCAUCAACUUUUGAAUAUCGUCCUUGAAACCAACCACAUCCACCUGUUUAUCAAUGGCACUUGUUCUUAUUAAGGUUCUCUCUUUCUGUUUUACAUCUGGACCGGCUAAAAUAUUGUCUAUUCCAUACUCGAGUCGCCUCUCCUUGAUCACACCGAUCUUUUUCUUGAGUGACUCGAUAUUGUUGCCAAUGUCAUAAAGCUGAGCUUCUUUCUUGCAGAUGCAAAUACAGUUGAGAAAUCUAUCCAUAUGACCUUGUUCCAGACUCGCUUGUCCAUCCUGAAAUCUCUUCAGUAUAUCCACGGCUUCAUUGGCAACAUCUCUGACAGUGCUUAUCCAUAGACGGAUUUCAUCUUCUUGCCUUGAUUCUGCACGAUUUACGGAAGCCUGGAGGAAGCCUAACUCUUCUUUGAGCCAGCCUAUAUCAUCUCUAACUCCUAUUCGUAUGUUAACCUGGUGCACAAGAAAAUUACCAAGGUUUUCAAUUGCAAAAGAUAGCACAGCAUCUGCCAUACUUCUCUAAGAAGUCAAAAAGAAAGGAUGGCUGGGAAAUAUUGGCAAAAGAGUUUGGUAGAAGGUCACUGAGGGAGUAAGACUACUUCAAAGUGGAACAUAUUAUUUAUUAUAAUUUAAGUUUAUAUUAAAAUAUUGAUUUGAGCUUGGACGUUCGAUUAGUGUGAACGAAACAUGGAGAUGCACAAUGAGACGAAUAAGUUUUUUAUGAUGCACAUGAGACAAAUAAGUUUUUUUUAAUAGCCAUGCGGAAUCAUAUGAUUCACUAAAUUGUCCUCUGUGCAUUUUAUAAAGAGUUUGGCCUUGAAAUUUGAUGCAACUUUUUCUUAUUUUCUUCUCCCAUGUGGCUGUGUUUGUUUUAUAGCAACUGCAAGUUGAGCUGAGUUAAAUAAAUUUAUACUAAAAUAUAAUUCAGGCCGCUCCUAUGUCUCCCUGGGAACUGUGUAGAUCUACCAAGCCCGCCCCAUAAAGCGAUAAAGAAUGUACUAUUCGAUGUUAUUUGGGGCGGUUCGACCUGGUUUAAAAGAAGUUAGUUACUGCUUAUAGGUAAGAAGUCACGUAUAAUUGAACAAUAAAUUUUCAUUCUUCUGUUUGGAUAAUUUUUUGAUAAUUUAUAACUAAUAGGUAUAGAAAUUAGUAUUAUAAUAAUAAAACUAGCGUAGAAGCAUGUGCAAGGUACGCCUACUGUUGUGUAAUAUGUGUUUGAAUAAAUGGUUAUAGACUAAUGUGUGUUUGAAUAAAAGUUUGCAGGCUGCAACAGGCCUGCCUUCAGAAAAUCCAAGGUGCUGUGCAAUACUCCCUCCGUCCCAUAUUGAGUGAGCUGUUUUGACUUUCACGGAGAUUAAGAAAAAGGUAGUAAGUUUAGUUGAAAAGUGAGUAAAGUUGUGGGACCUAUCAAUAUUUAAUAAUAGAUUUGAGAUAGUGGAGGAAGAUAGUGGGUGUAAUAGUGUUUAUAUUAUUAUAGAAUGGAGAUAGUGGAAGAAAGUAGUGGGUGUAAUAGUGAAAAGUAGUGUUCAAAAAUAGUAAGUAUGAUAGGUUCAUUCUUUUUGGGACGUCCCAAAAAGGAAUAAGGGUCACAUAAAAUGGGACAGAGGGAGUACAAAGCAGAAGCAAAUCUUGAUACUCUUGCCUUUAGAAACAAUGAAGAGGGUUGUAGAACAAAACCAGAAUUUCAAGUUUGUGAGUUAACAGUUAAUUUUUAAUUUUUCCUUUUCCGUGACGAAUUAAUUUGUUAGUUAACUGAGGUUAUUUACUUGAAUAUAUCUUCACUGAACCUGUUGUUACAUUACUUGUGUAUAUAUGCAGAAUUUCUGAUGAUGGGUGACGAUGAUCAUCACAAUGAUUAGCUAAAUUAAUUAAUCAAAUACACAACGCUUAUGAAACCACUGCAGAAUAAUUUUUUUUAUUUUGUGAUGCAUUUAUCUGACUAUAUAUAGGCAAAAUUUUGUGGCACUUGGUAAUAAGGAAAUACUAAAUUAUUACUAUGAUAUAACUAAACACUUUAGGUAUUGUUGAAUUAGACGGCUAAUUUUGAUUAGAGAUAGUCGAAUAUAUAUAUAUUUUUUCAGUCAGAAACGGUCAAAAUACAACUUCGAUAGUCUUAGGGGGUGUUUGAUAACUCUUAAUAGCCUCUUAAUAGCCAUUUUACUUAUUCGGUCAGAGAUUUAAUUUUUUUAACAGAUUAUCAAACGUGCUUAAUGAAACCAAAACACACUUAUUGGAUAAGAGCGUGGACUCUCGCUUAGUGGGUAAGAGAGCCUCUGAAUAGGGUUUUCCAAUGUAUACCCUCAAACUCAACCCUUUAUUUUCACCCAUCCUGCGUUUAUGCUAGCUGCUUUAACAGUGUGUUAUCAGAUACCCGUCACUUUUCUUCACUUUUCUUUAAAAAAAUAAAGAAUUGAUUAAUCUUGAUAUGGGCUAUAAAUAUAUAAAAUUAUAAAAAUUUUGGAUGAUUUUUAUAAUUUUGGAUUAAUUUUUUUAUGAUUUGGAUAAAAAUUUUGGAUGAUUUAUGAUGUGUUUUAGAUAAAAAUUUAAAAAUAUAAUUUUGAAAUUAUAGUUAUGGAUAAAAUUCCAAAAUUAUAAAAAUUAUAAAAAAUUUAACAUCAUAAAUCAUCCAAAAUUAUAAAAAUUUAUCCAAAAUUAUAAUUUUUUAAUAAUUUCGGAUGAUUUACAUUUUUGUAAUUUUUAUAAUUUUGGAUAAGAUUAUACUUUUUUUAUAAUUUUGAAUAAAAUUAUAUUUGUUAUAAUUUUGGAUGAUUUAUGAUGUAUGUUGGAAUUAUAAGGGUAAAAUGAUAAAUAUAUUGGCAUUCAGAUAUUUUAAUAUGAUUGUUAUCAAACAAUAAAUUUCUUUCAGUAAAUUUUUCAUUCAGGCAAAUUCUUCAUUCAGUGUAUUCAGCAAAUUUAAUGACUCAGCAUUUUUUAUUCAGUUUUAUCAAACAACCUCUUAGUCGAAAGUGUAGCGAUUGGGAUGAUCAAAAAGAGUAACUAUCCUUAUUCAAAAAAAAAAGAAAAAAGAGUAACUAUCCGGUUGAACUUUUAUAUUCGAGCAAAUUUGGUCAAAAAUAAUGUUUUCACGCUAAACUUUUUUUCAGAAACAAAAGGCAAAAUUCCCGUCUUCAAUUUAUUUUCGACCGUGAGUAUUUUCGACUGGGACUAGGCUGGAAAACCUUCGCUCAAAUUUUGGAGGGACAGAAGUGAAUGGCUUAUAAGCGGUUAAAAAUAGUCCACAAUUUUGACGGAUUUUUUCAACAGGUCUCUAAUUUGACUAAGUCUCGUCGUCACUUUUAACUUCGAACUAUUACCGUCGAAAAUAUAUGCGAUCAAAAUUAGCCGCUUUUCUUAUAUCACAUAAUAACGUGUUGAAGGGUAAUUGAAAUUUGAUAUGGUGAAACACAAACCGGAAUCACUAUUAUUGUUGUUAAAAAUCUUUGAUUUUCGGCUCUCCAUUGUAUCUUCUUUGUCUCUUCAGCUUACUCAUUUUUCGAGUUUGGUCACAUAUUCUGCUGCAUGCAAUGUUGUAUACAAUUCAGAAACUUGCGUUAAUAAUCAAAACAUUUGUCAGACUAGAUCCCAUCAAUAUUGAUCUCUUGUUUUAUCAUCAGAAUAUUUUGAUAUGGUUGUAUUUUGGGGUUGUAUACUUGUAUUCCCUCUACCGAACAGAUUGAUUCUGAAUUUUGUUUUGUUGAACUUUUGAAACAAAACUUUUGAACCGAAGUACUAAACAAUUUGACAGUUCAAGAAAGUUGAAUAUCAAAUUUUAUGAUUCACCUAGCGUUUUUGCUUGUGUUUUUUUUAAUAAUAAUCGUAUGAUUUUUUUGAAGUCAAGUUGUGUGUCAUGUGUUUUAAAGCAAGACUAAUAAAGUCCCAAGAUCCAAAAUCAUUAUAAUCAUGUUCCCGUUCAUUCUUUUUUUUUUCCUGACAGGUGAUUAUAAUCUGUAAGAUUAUAAAAAGAUUAUAUUUUAGAAAUAAUCAAUUUAUUUUACUUAAUUCAAUAAAAGAAAGAUUUUGGUAAGAGAGCAUUGAGGGAGUAAUUCAAAUGCAGAGUUGAAAGUGGAAUUUAUCAUUCAAAUUUAUUAUAAUUUCAAUUUUAAUGAAAAAUUAACGAAAAUUAAAGUACUCUGUGAUGUGCUACACUCGCUGAUUUGCUGGAUUCCACCGCAUACCCUGCGUGUCUGGGAUGCAUCAUGCAUAUUGCGUUAUUGUUAAGUUUGUCUUUUGUUUAUUAAAUAAUAAAAUUAAACAUAACUCUAUGAUAACAUUUUCUUUCAUAUGGGGUCAUCAGGGAGUUUUUUAAGAUACGCAUGAAGAAAAAACACAAAAAUACAAACGACCUAAUUAUUCUUAUUAAACCUACCUAGGACACAUGUGGGGUACUAAAUAUAGAGAUAUAGACACAUAUCAUAUCACCAUUAUACUGCAUACUACCACUAUAUUUUAAUAAUAUUAAAAAGAAUAACAUAGUGUUAAUAAUCAAAUCCGAACCUAAUGUUAGUGACAAAAAAAAUCAGAACCUAACAUUAGUGAAAAAAAAAAUUAAUAGUUCAGUGGUAGGUUUCUAAAUAAAUAAUAAGUUUGAUGGUAAAAAAAUUUAUUUUUCCCUAAAAAUUAAUGUAUAUUUUUCAUUUCGAUUCUACUUUUUAAUUUUAUACUAAUUUUUUAAUAGUCACUAAAAAUCUUAAUGACUCAUGAAAUCAUGAUCAAUUUAUUAAAUUUUCAUGUGUACAUUCUGUAAAGAAGUUGGCCCUGCUUAUUUUCUUCUUCCCAUAUGAUUGCAUGUGUUUUUAUAACAAUCCUUAGUUGAGGUAGUUAACUUAAAUUGACAUGUUACAUUUUAUAAAGAAUUUGGUUUCAAAAAAAGAAUUCUAUAAUAGUCGCAAGUUGAGGCAAUUAACUUACAUUGACCUGUUACAUUUUUUAAAGAAUUUGGUAUUAGAAAAUUGAUGCAACCUUUUCAACUCAUAAGCUAAAAUUAUGCACAAUAAUGUAUGUGCAUACAUGUAAUGAAACAUAAAUUUAUAUGGACACAAGCAUGCACACGUAAUCGAGUUUUUAAAAGUAGUUUAAAUUGUUGAUGAGGGCACUGCAUUCGUUAUGUGAAGAGGAACAAAAAGAGAAAUUAGGCUUCAGACUCUUUGACUUGCCGGGAAACAACUAAUAUCUCAAUUACUCUGCCUGUUCUUGAAAAUAACUAUCGACGAACUUAACCAAUAUGUGUAACGAAAAUAAACAACUCAAGCACGCUCCCCACGGAUCCUCCUGGCCAGCUGAAUGUCUUUAGACAUGUUUGUCACACACUUAGAAUGAAUAGCGCACAAGUUAGGCUGUGUUCACUUGGAUGGAAUGGAAUGUGGAGAGAAUGGAAUGAAAUUUGCAUUAUAAAUUGGGAGUGAUUAGUGAAAUUGUUUAUUAUUUUUAUUCUUUCAAUCAUUCCAUUUUAACUAUUUCAACUAAAAAUCUAACCCACAUGUUUUGAAAGGAAUGUUGAUUCUAUUUCAUCAUUUUUUCUUAGCAUCUUCUUCAUGAAAUUUUUUAACUCACUCAUAUUUAAUCAUUAUUACUUUAUACUUUCUCCGAUCUUCAUAAAACUUGUCCAUGUAGUUUCAUUCCAUUCUGCCCUCAUUCUAUUCCAUGAGAUGAACACAACCUUAAUAUCUUCCAACAGGUUUAUUAGGUAUACCUCAGCUGCCUCCCGGAGAGUUAGGACCGCAUGGCUCUGAAAAUGCAAAUCAGUCUGCAACAACAAAUUAAAAUUGCAUGUUGCAAUAAAAUUCAAUACGAUAAGUGAAGAUACAAUAUUUAGGGUUGUUUGUUCCAAAGAAGCAGAAGCUGCUUCUGACUUCGGCUUCUUUUGCCCGUUUGCCUAAAUAAGUAUAAACACUUUUAAGAAGCUGAGAAUGCUAGCUUCUGAGUUCUCUCAGAGAGUAUCUGCUUCUUUUUCAAACACUUCAUUAACUUAUUUACUUCUCUCUUCUUAUCCACUUCUUUACUUUAAAUAAAAAAUCACCUUUUUUUAAACUGACCUAAACCCCCCCUUAGUUCUUCAUUAUCUUCUUCUUCCGAGCAUGUGCGGCCCAGCUGAUCAUCUUCUUUGAAAUAUGGGCAUCACUUACCCCUGGAUCAGACAUGGUAUAAAGCACAGCCAAUAUCAAGGGCUUGUUGGCAAGGGUAUGUUUUUGUCAGAAUAUAUGUAAGGUAUUUAAUUCUGAAAUAUAUGUAAAAAUAUUACUAGGCAUUUGCAGAAAUUAUUGGCAUUAUUUUUCACGAUCUUAUAAUAUUACAUAGCUAGCAUUCUUCAGAGCAUGUGCCACACCCAGCGGAGAGCAUGACCGGUUCGUCUCGAUUUCCGAAUAAUCGUAACCGCAAUUAUAUAUUAUUUUUAAAAUUGAUAACCAUAACUGCCGGUUCGUAUUUUGGUUUUGGUUUAAAAAACCUGACACGGUUAUAACUGCUUGUGUUAAACUUGAACAGUAUAUUGUAAUCCCAGAUAAAUUUACAUUGGCCCGGUUUAUAAAAUAUACUAAUACAUUUACUUAUUUGAAAUUGUUUAGAUUUAAUAAAGUUUUACUGACAUUCAAUGAGCAGGGCAAGCAGCAUGAAGCACCUGCGAAAUUAUCCACCUUAUUAUUUGCAAUUGCUUUUCAAGGACCUCUCUGUAAUCGUCUUAUCAAGCAGGUAUAUGAGUGUAUCUAAUUAUGUAUACGUAAACAUUUGACUAAUUAGAAAAUAUUUCAAAUGCAAAGACUUCUAUAAUUAAAUAAGCGCAUUCCUAUUUUCAGCAGAAUAAUAUGAUCUCUGGCCGUUCAUUUCAAAGUGACGAUUAUCAAAGGUUCCUGUUUAAAGCAGUUGAACGAACUUUGUAGCUUGUUGGGUGAUGCGGAGAAGGUGUUCGAUAAAUUGCCUGUAUGAAGAUUUUUCCAAUUGGUGAGUUUACGUGACAAUAUUUGGUUUUCUUGGAUCGCUACUAAGAACUUUUUAUGCUUGUAACCAUUGGGUCUUUUAAAGUGCUUGGCAUGUCUUAACUUUAUUGUGUUUUUGGAGAUUUUGAUCUCGUGCUAGUUAAGACUAGUUUUAUAUGGAAAUCGAUCUUGGAACCUAGAAAUUGAACCGAGUUUGGGCUACCUUAAAAUUAAGUGAUUGAUUUAGGAAUUUGGGUCUGGGGCUUAGUUAUGGAACCUAAUAUAUUGAGAUCAUCGAGAUCAUUACAAAGAUUAGCUAAAUUAAUUAAUCAAAUACACGCCGCUUAUGAAACCACUGCAGGAUAAAAAAAUCUAUACUUGUGAAUUGUGAUGCAUUUAUUUGACUAUGUAUAUCAGAUAUUUUGGUCCGUGUGCUGAUUUUAGAAAAACAGAUAUUUAAAAAUGAAGGGAGUAUUAUCCAACACUUUCAACUUUUAAUUAAACCAGGUCGAUAUGAUAUAUUUAAAACUGUAAAUAUGAGAUAAUCAUGAAAUGUUUCGUCUUUAUAGAAAUAAGAACAAACAAACAAUGCUAGAAUUACUGAUACCGAACGAUUCUUAGCCGGGACUGAUAUCUUAUUUAUCCUGUUUAUUCUCUGACAUAAAUAUCUACCAACUUAAACAAUAGGCAGAACGAAAAUAAAUAAACUUUUAAUAUAAUGUUGAAGAUAAGUAAAGAUACAAGGUACAAUCGAUUCUCAGGCACCCGAUAAAUAUUAGGUUAUUUUCUGGCUGUUAAAUAUCUAACGGUCAUGAUUAUACUAACAUUUUUUAAUAUGUCAUGUUCAAUGGCUAAAAAACACUGAUUAUAUUAAAAUUUUAUUAUAAUCCUGGGUGCGAAUAUUUAUCUUACGGUCAAAAAUCAUGUUUUUUUGACAGGUUCGUGGCAGUCUAACUGCCAGGAAAAAACUUGAAAUUUUUGCGCAGGUAUAUGAGUGUAUCUGAUUAUGUAUAUGUAAAACAUUUGACGUAAUCAGAAGAUAAAUGAAAUGCAAAGGCUUCUAUAAUCAAAUAAUCGCAUUCCUAUUUUCAGCAGAAUAUGGUAACUGGCCAUUCAUUUGAAAGUGACGAUUACCAAAUGUUCUUGUUUAAACCAGUUCCAAGAAAUUUGCAGCUUGCUGGGUUGUGUUUGUUUUAUAGCUACUGCAAGUUGAGCUGAGUUAAAUAAUAGAUAGUGUACGAGGUUAUUGAAAUUCACAGUAUUAAUCUUGACCCAGUCCUAUCUAUUCUUAAUAAAGAAUGGAGGUUUGUUUGGUGGCUAUCAAUAUUCAAACCCCAGCUAAUUUUAAUAAAUAUAUAUAACUCAGACAGCUCGAAUAUCUCCCUGGGAACGGUGUAGAACUGUAGAUCUACCCAGCCCGUCCCAUAAAACUAUAAAGAUUGUACUAUUCAAUGUUAUUUGGGGCUGUUCGACUUGGUUUAAAAGAAGUUACUUGUCACUUACAAUUAAGAAGUAAAAUGUUAAUUAUAAGUGAAAGAUAAAUUUUAAUUUAUUUGUUUGGAUAAUUUUUUAUGAUAAUUUAUAACCAAUAGGUAUUAAAAAUUAGUAUUCUAAUAAUAAAACUAGCUUUAAAGGUUGUAGACUAAUGUGUGUGUGAAUUAAAGGUCAUGCAGAUUGCUGUGUAGUUUUCUUCUCUCAAAGAACUUAUGAAUCACAAAUUUGUCAUUGUAGGAUGAUUGAAUCUUAAUUUUGAAGAUCUACUUCAAAUGAUCUCCACUGCAUCAGGCAUUUGUAUAUGAUGCAAUAUAAAACCAAGGUGCUGUGCAAUACAAUGCAGUAUUUCAAAUGUGAACUCAACAAUAUAUCUUCUUAGUGGUUAACAAUACUACAUGUAAAGAUAAUGAUAGUGAAAUCAAGAUUCAGAUGAUAUGGAUAUAAUAUCAUUUUAGACAUAAGAAAGUUUGAUAAUCACAACACUGCAUCAAAUUUUAAAUUGUCAGAGUAUUGAAAUCAAUCAUGCAGUUCUACAAUUCAUUUUAUGCUAUUGAGUAUUGUGUUCCCAACGGAUGACAGUAUAAAAUUUCAGAGCCGGAAAGAAUUUAUCCCUCCUCUGUUAAUAGACCAAAAUUAAGCAAGAUACAAGAAAGCACAUCCAUAAAAGGGUUUGUUUAUCAUCAAAGAGUUUAUUUUUUCCGGUGUGUGUUCAUGGGCACAUGCUAAGCACUAAAUUUUAUGUAGGACCUGGGUCAACAGAGCAUAAACCCUUAACCACUGGGCUAUCCAAUCGUGCUCAUGUAUUUAACUAAUUUUGAUUGGCUCCUACUUUGUAAUAAUGGUUGACCGUUGACCCUUCUGCAUAUACAAAAACUUCACCAAUCAAUUUGAGCUAAAUGCAAAGAUUUUAGUGCUUAGUAUGUGCCCAUGAGCACAAACUAGACAAAAGCGAAAAAUAUAACAAUUCGAGAGGGGAUACAAUAAAUAUUAAAAAUAUCACAUAGUCAUAUAAUCAAAAUACAGUUACAUUAAAUCAACUAGCAGUUCGAGUAACAUUAUUGCUUUCUUAUAUUAAAUCACAUUAAUCUACUAACUGCAAUUAUUUAUAGUUUAUACACUGGUCUAAUAGAAAUCAGGGUCUCUGGCUCAAUUUCAAAUCUAAAAAAAUUGUCCAAACAUUGUAUUUAGGCUUCAGAAAGCGCAGGCAUCCGAUUUCUGCAAAGCUUAGUUGGUUUAGUAUUAUGCUGCCACUGUUCAUAACUUCCAUGACUCUUUUUUGCCCUAACAAACUCUCGUGAGAAGGUGGAUGCUCAUGGUAAAGUUUUCAAGUGUAAGGUAUUUUUCUGUCAGAAUAUAUUUCAGAUAUUUUAAAUAAGCUAGUAUCAGUAAAGUCAUCUAAGGAUCGCAGAAAAUAAAACGCAGCUGAAUCCGCAAGGCGGAAAGUUUCACAUUUACAUCAAUAUUAUUGCAUAAGACUAACUGAUUAUAAUCAGCUAUUUAAAAUUAAUCUGAAGAUGGUUCGUUUCAAGCCUCCCAUAAUUCAUAAUAUCACCCAAAAAAAAACUCAAAGUAUUAUGAACUCUUUAGGCCUGACGGAGGCAUGGUGGGUGAAAGGAGCCCAAAUCACAAUUUUUAUGUCAUUUGUAAGUUUAUGCAGCGUGCAUAAAGAUAUAUAAAGAUUAGACGUAAAUUAGUAAUUUGUCUCGUGUUAUGAACAGUGCCGACAUUUCAAACGAGAAACGUUUUUAGAGACGGAGGGAGUAUAACUUAAGUUUGUAUUAAAAUAUUGAUUUGAGCUUGGACGUCCAAUUAGUGUGAACGAAACAUGGAGAUGCACAAUGAGACAAAUAAGUUUCUUAAGGUCACAUGAGAAGAAUAAGUUUUUUAAUAGUCAUUAGAAAUCAUGAUUCACUAAAUUGUCUUGUGUACUUUUUAUAAAGACUUUGGCCUUGAAAACUGAUGCAACUUUUUCUACUUAUUUUCUUCUUCCCAUGUGGUUGUGUUUGUUUUACAGCAACUGCAAGUUGAGCUGAGUUAAGAAAAAAUUUACUAAAAUAUAAUUCAGGCAGCUCCCAAUUCCCAUGUCUCCCUGGAACUGUGUAGAUCUACCGAGCCCGCCCCAUAAAGCGAUAAAGAAUGUACUUUUUGAGUUUAUUUUGGGCGGUUCGACUUGGUUUAAAAGAAGUUAGUUACUACUUAUAGGUAAGAAGUCACUUAUACUUGAAAAAUAAAUUUCUAUUUUUCUGUGUGGAUAAUUUUUUGAUAAUUCUUUACUAAUAGGUAUAGAGAUUAGUAUUAUAAUAAUAAAACUAGCGUAGAAGCAUGUGCAAGGCACGGCUACUGUUGUGUAGACUAAUAUGUGUUUGAAUAAAAGGUUGCAGGCUGCAACAGGCCUUGCCUUCAGAAAAUCCAAGGUGCUGUGCAACGCAACUCAGAAGCAAAUCCUGAUGCUCUUGCCUUUAGAAACAAUGAAGAGGGUUGUAGAACAAAACCAGAAAUUUCAAGUUUGUGCCCUUUCAUGGGUUGUUGAAGCUGAAAUGUCACUCCAUUGAAGUGACCGAGUACUCAUGCUUAUUAUUGAGCCCUGUAAGCUAGAGUCCUCUAGUGGCAAGCAAAACCAGGAUAUGUGUCUAUCACAAUCCUCUAAUGGUUGGCAAGCAGAACCAGGACUUUAGAGAAGUUGAAACAGUCUUCUAAUGACAAACAUAACAGUCUCUUCCAAUCUAUUUCUUCAAAUUCUUCUCCAUCUCUUAUCUUUCCUUCUCGCUUCUUCUUCUACCUUUACAACAGAUCAUCUUCCUUUUUACUAGCGUCUAAUCAUCAAUCCAUUAUCUUCAAGCUAAGAGUUCACAAAGUUCCCACUCUUUAGCUUGAGGGGGAGUGUUAAGGGAUAAGAUAAAAGGCUUUUAUGGUCUUUCUAUCCAGAACAUUUGUUUUUACUAGAAUUUAGUAUUGUUUGUAACCUUCUAUAUAUACUGGAGAUGUAAUAACUAUACGAAGACAAGUAAAAAGAAAUGUAGUCAAUUAAUUUCUCUUCUUUCUUGUUCGUGUGUUGCUCUGUAAGUUUGCAACUAUGGUUCUCACCAUCACUGACUUAUAAAAUCAUCAGAAGAUUCUGUUGUUCCUUGAAGAGAACUAACCCAAGCUGCAACAAAAAUAAUAGCUUACAAUUCUAUAGAUUCACCUUAUAGAGUUAUACAAUGGUCAUUUAUUACAAAAUCAUUUCAAUUCAUCUAACCCUUAGACCUUGUAACGAAGCUAAACAAUCUGUUAAACCUAAGAUCAAAUCUUAAAGAAAAUCUUCUAUAGUGGACAAACAUCUGCUAUACAUUCCAAGAUUAUUAAUAAAUAUAUCUUGAAUCAUCUUAAGUAACAAGCUUCGAAGGCCUACAACACUCUUCAUAAAGUCACAAACCAUGUUUCCUUUGGCCUUUUAACAUGGCAGUUAAAAAGAAUUUGUCAGGUUCAGAAUAUAUUAUAUUAAUCCUGUUAGGCAGUCUACUUCUUUAAGGAUUUAAGUUCAAAUCUUAACAUUUAUGCGGUCAAUCUUAUGCAGAAGCAAACCUACAUAGCAUUUAAGACAUCUGCAAAAAUAAUAAUAGGCAUCUGCAGAAUUUACUGGCAUUAGAUUCAGCGAUCUUGCAAUAUUACAUAACUAGCACAAAAGAACUUUUGUGGCAUUUUCAUUUCGUUCCUUUAAUAGUGGCUGUUUGAUGUGGAGGAAAGAUCACAUACAAUGUUAAAGCCAGUUUCAGUAAAGUGAUCUAAGGAUCGCAGCAAGAUUAUAACGCGACUGAAUCCGCAAGGCUGAAAGUUCCAGGUUCACAUCAAUAUUUUUGCAGAGAAAAUACAAACAAUUAAUUAACAUUAGGAAUUAAUUAUUUAUUAAAAAUAAUGGAAAUAUCGUAUAUAUACAAUCAAACAUUCACAAUAGAAAAAAAAAGUUAUCAUUUUGAAUAAUAAAUUUAAAUAAAAUACUGAAACGUCUAAAGUUUCAAUACUAAAAUUAUGUGAUUGUUUAAGGUAAUUGCUCCAUAAAGAAGCUGAGAAUGUUAGCUUCUCUCUCACAGCUUCUGCUUCUUUUCCAAACACUUUAUUAACUUAUUUACUUCUCACUUCUACUCCACUUCUUUACUAUAAGCAAGAAGUCACUUCUUUUAAGCUAACUUAAACGGCCCCAAUGUAACUAAAGAAAAUAAUGGAAUCUUGAUUAACCAAGUAUCUGUCCAAAUAGUCUAAAGUGGAGAAACAAAUUCAUUUUAGAAUGAGACUUUAAUCAUCAACAAAUAGAAUUAAAAUUCUUCAAAUUAAACAAAAACAAAAUACAUUCAAAUUGAACAUAAACAAAUUACAAAUUUUAUGAUAUUGUAAUGUGAUGCACGAGUGCCGAGAAUCUUCCAGGGCGUUUCUAAGACUUCUAGUUGGUUUGGAUCAAGAUACGUUCUAGUUGGACUGGAAUGCUCCUCAGCUCUCCACACCGAAUUGUUCUAAAACUUUCGAGGCAAGGGAGUGCUCUGUCCUCGACUUGCAAUUCUUUUAGAUCGGUGAAAUAUCGUAGUCUUAAACUUUGAAGACUUGGAAACGCAUUUUUACUGCAAACCAUUUUGUUCCCCUCAUACACUACAUACAAAUCAAGAGUCGUAAGAUUCCGUAAAUUUCCCAAGCUGGGCAUUGGAUCUUCAGUGAACCUACUAUGAGACAGAUUUAAAUCCUCGACUGAAUUUGGCAGAAAACGGAAUUCUGAUAGUUCUAUAACACCCCUUAAAGUUAUGCUCUUGAGACGAUUCAAAACCGAAAACGGUUUCAAUGUUGAAAUAACGACAUCAUGACCACACUCAAAUAUGAACGUUUGGAGAUUUGUUAAAUUAGCAAUGGAUUCAAAAGUGCGACCUCCUCCUCCCUCUCUAUCUCUUAUAUAUAAUGUACAGAGGUUAGUGAAAUUGACGGUAUCAAUCUUGACCCAUUCCCUGAAAUCUAUACCAGAAAAAGAAUGGAGCUUUGUUUGAUGGCUACCUAUAUUCAACCUCUCGCUAAUUUCAAUGAAUAAAUCGUACAAAUGCCUCAGCUCAGGCAGCUCCCACAUCUCUUUGGGAACUGUGUAGUAACAAUCAUGGUGCCCACCCCAUAAAGAUCGUAACUUUUUCAGCUUGCCUAUACUUGCUGGCACUGCUAUUGUUCUCCUGACGGUACCCAUUAAGCCUAAAAACUUUAAAAGAACCAGUUCCCCUAAUUCUUCUGGUACACUCUUUGAUGCUACACACGACAUAUCUAGCACUGUGAGAUUUUUAAAUCCAGUGUACAUCAACUUUAUUUCUUUUAAUUCCACUUUAAAUCUAUAACCUGCCAACAUUAGGGAAUGCAAAUAUAAAGCAUCAAAUCUACGCUGCUCAAGUAAUUUAAGGUACUCACCAAUUUCAUCGUAAAUAGCAUGACGCCGUUGUCCUUCCAAUAAAUGGAUGAGAUUUGGCUGGUGUUUACUUGAAUCAAAAAUAACCAACAAAUUCUGCUCCUUUGCUUUUUUUAUGGCAAGUUCACGCACAAGAUCAUGGACCCGGCAUGUGACAAUUUUCCCAUUCAAUUGCCAAUACUCAAUCUGAAUCAAGUUGCGAUUAAUUAGCUCGUUCAGACAAUCCUCGGCCAAAUCCUCCAUGAGUACUCCAUCUCCUUCUUCAUCUUCUGAUAUGAAUUCCUCUGCAAUCCAUAAGUGCUUCAAAGGUUCGACGAAAAUGAUUUUAUCUUCUGGAUAUCUUGCAAGGUAGAGAAAACAAUCUCUCAAUUGGGGAGACAAGUCUUUAUAACUCAAGCUUAGUAUUUCUACAAUAUCCACAGAGUCAUCUGUCAAGUUUCUCCAGAUAAGCUCCUUCACCUUUGACCAAUAGUCGUAGCUCUUGUUGUGGAAUAAAAGGCCACCCAGUAUCACAAUUGCAAGUGGUAAACCUCCACAUUUACCAACCAUCUCCCUUCCCAAGUUCUCCAAAUUCUGGUUUGGUUCUGCUAUCUUGCAGAACAAUUCCCAGCUUUCCUCUUCCCUCAAAAGACGAAGUGGAUAGGCUAAACCAUUCUUGAUAUCCACAGUCUCUGCGACUUUCUUGUUUCUUGUGGUAAUGAUGAUCCUACUACCGUUGUCCUGGUUUGGAAAUGCGAUCUUGAUCUGGUUCCAAGCGUUUAUAUCCCAUAUAUCAUCAAUAAGUACCAAAUAGCAACCUUCAUUCUGGAGUAACUGUGGUAGGUAUUGUAGCAAGUCACGCUCAUCCAUGUUUGACAUAUAUUGUUCGUGCUCAGGUCCUUUGAAAGACUUUAUUAUCCUCUUAAGGACAUCUUUGAUAGUAUAUUCGUUGGAGACACACACUUUAGCACGGGUGCCAACAUGUCUCAACUCGUUAGAGUUGUACAACUUGGUGGCAAGUGAAGUCUUGCCCAACCCCCCCAUUUCGUGAAUGGAAAUGAUUUUAAGGGGCGGAUCCUCGUUAUUAAGUUCUGUCAUCAACUUGUCAACAUCCUCCCUAAAGCCAACUACAUCCACCUUGUUAUCAAUGGCGCUUGCUCUUAUCAAGGUUCUCUCUUUUUGUUUCACGUCUGGGCCGGCUAAAAUAUUGUCGAUCCCAUACUCGAGUCUCCUCUCCUUGAUGACACCGAUCCUUUUCUUGAGUGACUCGAUAUCAUUGCCAAUGUCAUAAAGCUGAGCUUCUUUCUUGCAGAUGCAAAUACAGUUGAGAAAUGUAUGCAUAUGACCUUGACCUUGUUCCAG
rnacentral:lncRNA from 1 species